CACUUUCCCUUGGAGUCCCAGGGAGACGUUAUCUCUGGAGGUCAGGAGAUGGGAAGGGAACCAAGGGCUCCUGAGACCUGAGGCUGUGCUGCCUGCACCUGUCCCGCCUCCUCACUUUGCACAAUGAGAUAGCUGACCUUUUCUAUUUCAUCUUGUUUUUUUUCCUGCACCCCACUUGGCUUGGCAACCAUAAAUCCACACCAUUUCCUCCUUGGCAUUUCUUGAAUGUAUCCCGCUCAAAUUAACAACUCAAAAGCAGGAGGCCCGGUAGACCUUGAAAUGUUCCGCUUGCCUUCUGGCCUUGGCAGCUGGCUUGACAGGUCCCACCGGCUCUCCUGGGAGAGUGGGCAGCUGACAAAUCCGGAGGCCCUGAAACCUUCCUUCCACUUCACCUGUCAACUUACUAGCAGCCCAGUUCUGACUUCUUCAGCCGGAGAACCAACUAUAGCAAGGAAGAGAG
rnacentral:lncRNA from 1 species